AUGUGGUCACUCCUGAAAAGACGAAGAAAACUGUUAGUCAGAACUCCAGACCCAGCCAAAAAGAUUAAGAAGAAAGUUUCUUCAGCCAAGCCAAAAUCCCCCUUAAAGAAGGUUUCGGUCAAGUCAUUCAUGGUGCAGACAACAAUCACAUUUAAAGUCGUCUAUGAGGCACCCAAAACUACUGAAAAGAAAUCAUCACUCCCUGAGCCUUCCCUAAAGGAGGCUAGAAAUAAAAAGAAAGAAUACCUCAUCCGUAAAAGAAACAUGCUUAAAGCCUAG